UGGGGAAUCUUCCGCAAUGGACGAAAGUCUGACGGAGCAACGCCGCGUGAGUGAAGACGGCCUUCGGGUUGUAAAGCUCUGUGAUCCGGGACGAAAGAGCCUGAGGUGAAUAGCCUAAGGCAGUGACGGUACCGGAAAAGCAAGCCACGGCUAACUACGUGCCAGCAGCCGCGGUAAUACGUAGGUGGCAAGCGUUGUCCGGAAUUUUUGGGCGUAAAGCGCGCGCAGGCGGCUUCCUAAGUCCAUCUUAAAAGUGCGGGGCUUAACCCCGUGAUGGGAUGGAAACUGGGAAGCUGGAGUAUCGGAGAGGAAAGUGGAAUUCCUAGUGUAGCGGUGAAAUGCGUAGAGAUUAGGAAGAACACCGGUGGCGAAGGCGACUUUCUGGACGAAAACUGACGCUGAGGCGCGAAAGCGUGGGGAGCAAACAGG
rnacentral:rRNA from 1 species